rnacentral:sRNA from 1 species
CGAAGAGUAGCUUGCGCACCAGGCACUCCCCAGGGUCCUGUGAACGCGGUGUAAAGAACCCAAAAAUGCAGUGGGGAUGGAAUCAAGGGUCCCUCUAUGUGGUCCUGUCUGCCCUAGAACUUGCUGUGUACAUGGGCUGGCCUCAAACUAGGAGAUCCCCUACCUCUGCCUCUCAAAUGCUGAGAUUAAAGGUGAGUGUGCCCAGCUGUGACAAACCCCUGAACUGAAAGCAACUUGGGGAGAAAGGGGCUGUCUGGUUUAAGAGUCCAUUGUGGGAAGUCAGGGGGCUGGACUGGAAACAGGAACCACAGGAGAACACUGCUCACUGCCCUCUUUGCUUUCAUAUACACCCCAGGACCCUUGCCUGUGGUAGCCACCCCAGUAUGAUAGGCCUUUCCUCAGCCACCAAUCAAAAUGCGGCACAGACUUGCCCACAGACCAAUCCGAUGGAGGCGAACUCUCAACUGAAGCUUCUCUUCCCAGGUGACACUGGCUGUGUCAUAAAACCAAGCAGCACACAGAUCCCUCACUCUGGCCCCCUUAGACUAGACCUCUUGGAGGCAGUUAGGCCUGUCUGCAGGCCGUCAAGACACCACUAAGCCAAACUGGCCCCUAGCUCCAACCCCUUCCCCCAGUUGAACACAGUGAAGGGUCCUGAGAAAAGGAAGAGCAACACACUGGAGACCAGGCUUGGUUUGCAUAGUCUGCACGUUUAAUCACUUUAAAACCUCUAACAUUAUCUCGUGUCCAUUAAAUAGAACCAACAAUGCCAGGCCUGUUUAAAUUACAAGGAAAAAAAAAUGACUGUGCACCAACCCAGCAUCUUACAAAACCAGCCUGGAUGGCCGCUAGGGGUGGGCAGGAGAGCAAGGGGCACCCCUGGACAGGUAGGUUGGGUACCGAGAAGGGCUAGGAAAAAGAAAAGAGGAGGCCCAAGUGGGAGGGGACUGAUUGUCCUAAUGGGAGGGGUGCGAAAGGCACAUCAGAACAGGGGGUUUGGGGGGCAUCAUAGGCCAAUGCUUUCUCCACCAGGGCACAGUGUUAGAAAGGGCUUGGUGGUGCCACCUGCCCACCCCUGGCACUUGGAGAGCCAGCAACCCAAAAGCCUGUGGCACAACCCCAUUUGAAACAGAUGAUGUCAGCCUACCCCUCCCACCAUGACCCCCUUUCCUGGAGCCCAGCUGGCUGGCCUGCCUCUUCAGGACUUGGGGCUUAGUGAUUCCCUCUGCCUCAGAGCUGGGCAGCCAUGGGAAAGGCAGGGUGGACAUGGGUAGGAGAAGGUGAAUGGUCCAGCUGCUACCCCCAUUAAAAAUACAAAAAAAAAAAAAAA